GAUGAACGCUGGCGGCGUGCCUAAUACAUGCGAGUCGAGCGAACGGACGAGAAGCUUGCUUUUCUGAUGUUAGCGGCGGACGGGUGAGUAACACGUGGAUAACCUACCUAUAAGACUGGGAUAACUUCGGGAAACCGGAGCUAAUACCGGAUAAUAUUUUUAACCGCAUGGUUCAAUAGUGAAAGACGGUCUUGCUGUCACUUAUAGAUGGAUCCGCGCUGCAUUAGCUAGUUGGUAAGGUAACGGCUUACCAAGGCAACGAUGCAUAGCCGACCUGAGAGGGUGAUCGGCCACACUGGAACUGAGACACGGUCCAGACUCCUACGGGAGGCAGCAGUAGGGAAUCUUCCGCAAUGGGCGAAAGCCUGACGGAGCAACGCCGCGUGAGUGAUGAAGGUCUUCGGAUCGUAAAACUCUGUUAUUAGGGAAGAACAUAUGUGUAAGUAACUGUGCACAUCUUGACGGUACCUAAUCAGAAAGCCACGGCUAACUACGUG
rnacentral:rRNA from 1 species